CAGCCGCCGCGGUAAAACGGAGGGUGCAAGCGUUAAUCGGAAUUACUGGGCGUAAAGCGCACGCAGGCGGUUUGUUAAGUCAGAUGUGAAAUCCCCGAGCUUAACUUGGGAACUGCAUUUGAAACUGGCAAGCUAGAGUCUUGUAGAGGGGGGUAGAAUUCCAGGUGUAGCGGUGAAAUGCGUAGAGAUCUGGAGGAAUACCGGUGGCGAAGGCGGCCCCCUGGACAAAGACUGACGCUCAGGUGCGAAAGCGUGGGGAGCAAACAGGAUUAGAUACCCGGGUAGUCCCUGUCUCUUAUAC
rnacentral:rRNA from 1 species